UACGUAGGGUGCGAGCGUUAAUCGGAAUUACUGGGCGUAAAGCGUGCGCAGGCGGUUCGUUGUGUCGGCGGUGAAAGCCCCGGGCUUAACCUGGGAAUGGCCGUCGAAACUGGCGAACUGGAGUGUGGCAGAGGGGGGUGGAAUUCCGCGUGUAGCAGUGAAAUGCGUAGAGAUGCGGAGGAACACCGAUGGCGAAGGCAGCCCCCCUGGGCUGACACUGACGGCUCAGGCACGAAAGCGUGGGGAGCAAACAGG
rnacentral:rRNA from 1 species